rfam:Brachypodium distachyon strain Bd21 chromosome 4, whole genome shotgun sequence.
UAUAUACUCUCUCCGAUUCUAAAUUCUUGUCAAAAUAUUACAUAAAUGUAUCUAGACGCUUUUUAAGAAUAGAUACAUUCAUAUUUGGGCAAAUUUGAGUCAAGAAUUUAGUAUCAGAGAGAGUACUUA